UACGUAGGGUGCGAGCGUUAAUCGGAAUUACUGGGCGUAAAGCGUGCGCAGGCGGUUUUGUAAGCCAGAUGUGAAAUCCCCGGGCUUAACCUGGGAAUGGCAUUUGGGACUGCAAGGCUAGAGUGCGGAAGAGGGGACUGGAAUUCCUGGUGUAGCAGUGAAAUGCGUAGAUAUCAGGAGGAAUACCGAUGGCGAAGGCAGGUCCCUGGGUUGACACUGACGCUCAUGCACGUAAGCGUGGGGAGCAAACAGG
rnacentral:rRNA from 1 species